GAUUUCAACUGAAAAAGUCAUCAAUAAUAAAGUUGUAUAACUCAUCAAGAUCUAUAACUUCUAUUUUGGUCAUUUCUUCAUCCGAUAAAGUGAUUUGUAAGAUUGUUCACAAAAUAUACAUCUCUUAUAUAGUUUAACUAUAUAAGAGAUGUAUAUUUUGUGAACAAUCUUACAAAUCACUUUAUCGGAUGAAGAAAUGACUAAAAUAGAAGUUAUAGAUCUUGAUGAGUUAUACAACUUUGUUAUUGAUGACUUUUUCAGAUGAAAUU
rnacentral:pre_miRNA from 1 species